rnacentral:lncRNA from 1 species
GAGAGUUUAAAUUUGUAACUUAUCGAUGUCAACGUUCACAAGAACCAAAACCGGAACAACAUUAGACUACUCAGUUGCGCCCUAACAGUAUAACUUUGCAACGAGUACUUUUUCUCAUUCUAUCGAACAAAGAGUAAAACCUAAUUAUAUUGUUCUAUUAUACCCCGAGAGUGUAAAUUUUUAACUUAUCGAGGUCAACGUUCACAAGAACCAAAGCCCAACCAACAUUAGACUACUCAGUUGCGCCCUAACAGCAUAACUUUGCAAUAAGUACUUUUUCUCCUCCAACCGAAUAAAGAGAAAAACCUAAUUAUAUUGUUCUAUUUUACCCUGAGAGAGUAAAUUUGCAACGUAUCAAUGUCAACGUUCACAAAAAUCAAAACCGGACCAACAUUAGACUACUCAGUUGCGCCCUAACAGCAUAACUUUGCAAUAAGUACUUUUUCUCCUCCAACCGAAUAAAGAGAAAAACCUAAUUAUAUUGUUCUAUUUUACCCUGAGAGAGUAAAUUUGCAACGUAUCAAUGUCAACGUUCACAAAAAUCAAAACCGGACCAACAUUAGACUACUCAGUUGCGCCCUUACAAUAUAACUUAAUUAUAUUGUUCUAUUAGACUUUUUCUCAUUCAAUUGAACAAAGAGUAAAACCUAAUUAUAUUGUUCUAUUAUGCCCCGAGAGUAUAAAUUUGCAGUGUAUCGAUGUCAACGUUCACACGAACCAAAAUGGUACAAACAUUAGACUACUAGUUGUGCCCUAACAGUAUAACUUUGCAACGAGUACUUUUUCUCAUUCAACCGAACAAACAGUAAAACCUGAUUAUAUUGUUCUAUUAUGCCCCGAGAGUAUAAAUUUGCAACGUAUCGAUGUCAACGUUCACAAGAACCAAAAUCGGAACAACAUUAGACUACUCAGUUACGCCAUAACAGUAUAACUUUGCAAACAGUACUUUUUCUCAUUCAAUCGAACAAAGAGUAAAACCAACUUAUAUUAUUCUAUUAUACCCCGAGCAUGUAAAUUUGCAACUUAUCGAUGUCAACGUUCACAAGAACGAAAACCGGAAGAACAUUAGACUACUCAGUUGCGCCCUAACAACAUAACUUUGCAAACAGUGCUUUUUCUCAUUCAAUCGAACAAAGAGUACAACCUAAUUAUAUUGUUCUAUUAUCGCCCGAGAGUGUAAGUUUGCAACGUAUCGAUGUCAACGUUCAUAAGAAUCAAAACCGGAAAAAUAUUAGACAACUCAGUUGCUCCCUAAUACUAUAACUUUACAAAGAGUACUUUUUCUCAUUCAACCGAACAAAGAGUAAAACCUAAUUAUAUUGUUCUAUUAUGGCCCGAGAGUGUAAAUUUACAAGGUAUCGAUGUCAACGUUCAAAAAAACCAAAACCGGACAAAAAUUAGACUACUCAGUUGCUCCCUAACAGUAUAACUUUACAACGAGUACUUUUUCUUCUUCAACCGAACAAAGAGUAAAAUCUAAUUAUAUUAUUCUAUUAUGACCCGAAAGUGUAAAUUUGCAACGUAUCGAUGUCAACAUUCACAAGAAACGAAACCGAAAAAAUUUUAGACUACUCAGUUGCUCCCUAACAUUAUAACUUUGCAACGAGUACUUUUUCGCAUUCAAUCAAAAAAAGAGUAAAACCUAAUUAUAUUGUUCUAUUAUGCCCCGAUAGUGUUAAUAUGCAAUGUAUCGAUGUCAACGUUCACAAGAACCAAAACCAGAACAACAUUAGACUUCUCUAUUACGCCCUAACAGCUUAACUUUGCAAACAGUACUUUUUCUCAUUCAAUCGAACAAAGAGUAAAACCAAAUUAUAUUAUUCUAUUAUGCCCCUAGAAUGUAAAUUUGCAACGUAUCGAUGUCAACGUUCACAGAAACCAAAACGGGAAGAACAUUAGACUACACAAUUGCGCCCUAACAGCAUAAUUUUGCAAUGAGUACUUUUUCUCCUUCAACCGAACAAAGAAUAAAAGCUAAUUAUAUUGUUCUAUUAUGCCCCGAGAGUGUAAAUUUACAAUGUAUCGAUGCAAACGUUCACAAAAACCAAAACCGGAACAACAUUAGACUACUCAGUUGCACCCUAACAAUAGAACUUUGCAAACAGAGCUUUUUCUCAUUCAAUCGAACAAAGAGUAAAAUCCAAUUAUAUUAUUCUAUUAUACCCCGGG